rnacentral:rRNA from 1 species
UACGUAGGUCCCGAGCGUUGUCCGGAUUUAUUGGGCGUAAAGCGAGCGCAGGUGGUUUAUUAAGUCUGGUAUAAAAGGCAGUGGCUCAACCAUUGUAUGCAUUGGAAACUGGUAGACUUGAGUGCAGGAGAGGAGAGUGGAAUUCCAUGUGUAGCGGUGAAAUGCGUAGAUAUUAGGAGGAACACCAGUGGCGAAGGCGGCCUGCUGGACGAUGACUGACGUUGAGGCUCGAAAGCGUGGGGAGCAAACAGG